GAUAAUAUAGUAAAUUCAUAUUUUUUUAUAUUAAAAAAAUUAAAAUCAUAUAAUAGGUUCUAUUUUUAUAGAAUACUAGCCUCUUGACACAUGCUCACGCAUGUGCCAAUUGGUUUUUUUUUCUUUUUUAUUUUAUUUUUAGAAUUAAUAAAAGAUAACAGGGUAGUUAUCUUCCAUAAAAGUAGGACCUAUUAUCUUAUUUUG
rnacentral:lncRNA from 1 species